rnacentral:rRNA from 1 species
AGACCCGAAACCCGGUGAUCUAGCCAUGGGCAGGUUGAAGGUUGGGUAACACUAACUGGAGGACCGAACCGACUAAUGUUGAAAAAUUAGCGGAUGACCUGUGGCUGGGGGUGAAAGGCCAAUCAAACCGGGAGAUAGCUGGUUCUCCCCGAAAGCUAUUUAGGUAGCGCCUCGUGAAUUCAUCUCCGGGGGUAGAGCACUGUUUCGGCUAGGGGGCCAUCCCGGCUUACCAACCCGAUGCAAACUGCGAAUACCGGAGAAUGUUAUCACGGGAGACACACGGCGGGUGCUAACGUCCGUCGUGAAGAGGGAAACAACCCAGACCGCCAGCUAAGGUCCCAAAGUCAUGGUUAAGUGGGAAACGAUGUGGGAAGGCCCAGACAGCCAGGAUGUUGGCUUAGAAGCAGCCAUCAUUUAAAGAAAGCGUAAUAGCUCACUGGUCGAGUCGGCCUGCGCGGAAGAUGUAACGGGGCUAAACCAUGCACCGAAGCUGCGGCAGCGACGCUGAUGCGUUGUUGGGUAGGGGAGCGUUCUGUAAGCCUGCGAAGGUGUGUCGUGAGGCAUGCUGGAGGUAUCAGAAGUGCGAAUGCUGACAUAAGUAACGAUAAAGCGGGUGAAAAGCCCGCUCGCCGGAAGACCAAGGGUUCCUGUCCAACGUUAAUCGGGGCAGGGUGAGUCGACCCCUAAGGCGAGGCCGAAAGGCGUAGUCGAUGGGAAACGGGUUAAUAUUCCCGUACUUGGUGUUACUGCGAAGGGGGGACGGAGAAGGCUAUGUUGGCCGGGCGACGGUUGUCCCGGUUUAAGCGUGUAGGUGUGUGUUCCAGGUAAAUCCGGUUCACUUUAACACUGAGGCGUGAUGACGAGGCACUACGGUGCUGAAGCAACAAAUGCCCUGCUUCCAGGAAAAGCCUCUAAGCAUCAGGUAACAUCAAAUCGUACCCCAAACCGACACAGGUGGUCAGGUAGAGAAUACCAAGGCGCUUGAGAGAACUCGGGUGAAGGAACUAGGCAAAAUGGUGCCGUAACUUCGGGAGAAGGCACGCUGACACGUAGGUGAAGUGAUUUACUCAUGGAGCUGAAGUCAGUCGAAGAUACCAGCUGGCUGCAACUGUUUAUUAAAAACACAGCACUGUGCAAACACGAAAGUGGACGUAUACGGUGUGACGCCUGCCCGGUGCCGGAAGGUUAAUUGAUGGGGUCAGCGCAAGCGAAGCUCCUGAUCGAAGCCCCGGUAAACGGCGGCCGUAACUAUAACGGUCCUAAGGUAGCGAAAUUCCUUGUCGGGUAAGUUCCGACCUGCACGAAUGGCGUAAUGAUGGCCAGGCUGUCUCCACCCGAGACUCAGUGAAAUUGAACUCGCUGUGAAGAUGCAGUGUACCCGCGGCAAGACGGAAAGACCCCGUGAACCUUUACUAUAGCUUGACACUGAACAUUGAGCCUUGAUGUGUAGGAUAGGUGGGAGGCUUUGAAGUGUGGACGCCAGUCUGCAUGGAGCCGGCCUUGAAAUACCACCCUUUAAUGUUUGAUGUUCUAACGUGGACCCGUGAUCCGGGUUGCGGACAGUGUCUGGUGGGUAGUUUGACUGGGGCGGUCUCCUCCUAAAGAGUAACGGAGGAGCACGAAGGUUGGCUAAUCCUGGUCGGACAUCAGGAGGUUAGUGCAAUGGCAUAAGCCAGCUUGACUGCGAGCGUGACGGCGCGAGCAGGUGCGAAAGCAGGUCAUAGUGAUCCGGUGGUUCUGAAUGGAAGGGCCAUCGCUCAACGGAUAAAAGGUACUCCGGGGAUAACAGGCUGAUACCGCCCAAGAGUUCAUAUCGACGGCGGUGUUUGGCACCUCGAUGUCGGCUCAUCACAUCCUGGGGCUGAAGUAGGUCCCAAGGGUAUGGCUGUUCGCCAUUUAAAGUGGUACGCGAGCUGGGUUUAGAACGUCGUGAGACAGUUCGGUC